rnacentral:misc_RNA from 1 species
UCACCACCACCACCACCACCACCAUUAUCACCAUCAUGUCCACAAUAUUCAGCAGCAUCAAUCAUUGCCAGACCAUGAUGAUAUUUCACUGAAGAACAUGGCAGCAGUUGCUCCACAAUGUGGAUCGUCAAAUGUGCUUGGUGGGAGAACCAAAGACAAUACUGGAAACUACAGUAUGAAUGGGAGUGUCUCAGGGAGUAACCAUGGAAGUAAUGGGCAAAAUGGAAGCAGCACUGCUUUGAAUAAUGGACUGACAAACAUGGAAAGUGACAAUAGGGAAGCUGGAAAUAAUGGAGCAGGUGGCAUAAGUGGGAGAAACAGCGGGAAUGCAUUAGAUGAAGAUCGAGUUGCACAGAGAGUGGCUGCAUUGUCCAAGUUUCGCCAAAAGAGGAAAGAAAGAUGUUUUGAGAAAAGGGUAACCCAUUUUUAUUAUUGUCUGUAAUUCUGUUGGCUUAGUUACCCUGUUAUCUAUUGAAUUUCUCUGUGAUCUUUCUGCCAUAAGCAAAUAUAGCAAGGAGGCCUUGGCUGGCACACUGAUAACUAAAAAUGAGAUUUUGUGGUUGACCUAUUUCUGUGUGCUUAUUUUAUGAAUUUUAUUCUGAAUUACAUCCUUGAGUGUGUGAUACCUGUCUUGUUUUCAGGUCCGAUAUCAAAGCAGGAAAAAAUUGGCAGAACAGCGACCUCGUGUCAAGGGACAAUUUGUUCGACAGACAAUGUCUGAAUCUAUAUUAGGAAGAGAUUGCCAGAGCAAUGACGUCACUUCUGAAGACAACUCUUGUGACCUCGUAAGAUAGCAGCAGAACAUAUGUACAUUGCUAACCCAACCCUUGUCCCUGUAGCACAUGUGAGUUUGUAAACAUUAGACUAGAAGUAGCCGUGCACAAGGGGAAUGGGUUCCAGGUUUGUACUAGAGGAGAUUUUCAGGUAGGGUUCUUUACCUUACACAAGAAACAUUUGUUUUAUUAUGGUUAUGAUACUUCAAAAGAUACUUUGUUCGCCUGUUUUGUGCUUGUAAACUACCAUGAAUUUGUAAACUUCCCAGAAAUGGGGUGACUUCUGAACAAAAACUCUCAUGUUGGUUGCGUCGUCAAUUCGUUUCUCUGUCUAGUAAAUGAAAUGGAUUGAGAUUCUCUCAA